rnacentral:rRNA from 1 species
AAGCCAGACUCCUACGGGAGGCAGCAGUGGGGAAUAUUGCACAAUGGGGGAAACCCUGAUGCAGCGACGCCGCGUGAGCGAUGAAGUAUUUCGGUAUGUAAAGCUCUAUCAGCAGGGAAGAAAAUGACGGUACCUGACUAAGAAGCCCCGGCUAACUACGUGCCAGCAGCCGCGGUAAUACGUAGGGGGCAAGCGUUAUCCGGAUUUACUGGGUGUAAAGGGAGCGUAGACGGCGGUGCAAGCCAGAUGUGAAAGCCCGGGGCUCAACCCCGGGACUGCAUUUGGAACUGUGCUGCUAGAGUGUCGGAGAGGCAGGCGGAAUUCCUGGUGUAGCGGUGAAAUGCGUAGAUAUCAGGAGGAACACCGGUGGCGAAGGCGGCCUGCUGGACUGCGACUGACGUUGAGGCCCGAAAGCGUGGGGAGCAAACAGGAUUAGAUACCCCAGUAA